AUGUGUCAUCCUCACUGUUACAAACUAUCUUAUAGUCAGAGUCACAGAUUUCAUUCACAACUUUUCAAUCUAUACUUCUUCUUCUUCUUCUGAUCAAUUCUCUGAUUCCAACUUUUCUAUUUUCUAUCUUCUUUUCUUACACCGUUUCUCAUUAGAAGGGUGUUAGAAAGAGGAAGCUUAAUCAAUUGACAAUUCAUUGGUAGCUUUUGUGUUUGUGUGUUUUCCUGAGAAACCAAAGUUUUGAUCAGUGAUUUCUGCAGCCAUGACGAAUCAAGUAUGUAUUAUAUAUUUGUUCAAAAAAAGUAUGUAUUUUUUUUUUGUCAAGUAGCUUAG
rnacentral:lncRNA from 1 species